rnacentral:rRNA from 1 species
CAAUAGCGUAUAUUAAAGUUGUUGCAGUUAAAAGCUCGUAGUUGGAUUUCUGAUCCAAGUAGCCGGUCGGCGCAUGUAUUUGCGUUUGUACUCGUGCGGUUUGGUUCAUUUUUUGUGAGGAGGCUUUUCUGGCAUUAAGUUGUUGGGAUCGUGGACUUGCAUCGUUUACUGUGAAAAAUUAGAGUGUUUAAAGCAGGCGUUGGCCAUUUUUGAAUACAUUAGCAUGGAAUAAUAAGAUACGACUUUGGUGGUCUAUUUUGUUGGUUUGCACACCAGAGUAAUGAUUAAUAGGGACAGUUGGGGGUAUUCAUACUUUAGCGUCAGAGGUGAAAUUCUUGGAUCGCUGAAAGAUGAUCUUAGGCGAAAGCAUUUACCAUGGAUGUUUUCAUUAAUCAAGAACGAAAGUUAGGGGAUCGAAGACGAUCAGAUACCGU